AGCAGUCGCCGCGGUAAAACGUAGGUGGCAAGCGUUGUCCGGAAUUAUUGGGCGUAAAGCGCGCGCAGGCGGCCUAUCCAGUCUGUCUUAAAAGUUCGGGGCUCAACCCCGUGAUGGGAUGGAAACUAGUAGGCUAGAGUAUCGGAGAGGAAAGCGGAAUUCCUAGUGUAGCGGUGAAAUGCGUAGAUAUUAGGAAGAACACCAGUGGCGAAGGCGGCUUUCUGGACGAAAACUGACGCUGAGGCGCGAAAGCCAGGGGAGCGAACGGGAUUAGAUACCCGAGUAGUCCCUGUCUCUUAUACA
rnacentral:rRNA from 1 species